rnacentral:rRNA from 1 species
GAUGAACGCUGGCGGCGUGCCUAAUACAUGCAAGUCGAGCGAACAGACGAGGAGCUUCCUUCUUUGACGUUAGCGGCGGACGGGUGUGUAACACGUGGAUAACCUACCUAUCAGUCUGGUAUAACUUCGGGAAACCGGAGCUAAUACCGUAUAAUAUAUUGAACCGUAUGGUUCAAUUGUGAAUGACGUCUUUGCUGUCUCUUCUCGCUGGAUCCGCGCCGCAUUAGCUAGUUGGUAAGGUAACGGCUUACCAAGGGAACGAAGCGUAGCCGACCUGAGAGAGUGGUAGGCCACCUGGGAGCUGGAACGGGGUCAAGGCGCCUAAGAGAGGCAGCAGAAGGGAAUCUGAGGCAGUAGGCGGAAGCAUGACGGAGAAAGGGCGCGUGAGUGACAGAAAUCUUGGGAUCGUAACACUCUGUUAUGAGGGAAGAACAAAUGUGUAAGGAAAAAAGCACGUCGUGACGGUACCUAAACAAAAAGCCACGGUUAACUACGUG